rnacentral:rRNA from 1 species
CCUACGGGAGGCAGCAGUGAGGAAUAUUGGUCAAUGGGCGUAAGCCUGAACCAGCCAAGUCGCGUGAGGGAUGAAGGUUCUCUGGAUCGUAAACCUCUUUUAUAAGGGAAUAAAGUGUGGGACGUGUCCUAUUUUGUAUGUACCUUAUGAAUAAGGAUCGGCUAACUCCGUGCCAGCAGCCGCGGUAAUACGGAGGGUCCGAGCGUUAUCCGGAUUUAUUGGGUGUAAAGGGUGCGUAGGCGGCCUUUUAAGUCAGCGGUGAAAGUCUGUGGCUCAACCAUAGAAUUGCCGUUGAAACUGGGGGGCUGGAGUAUGGUUGAGGCAGGAGGAAUGCGUGGUGUAGCGGUGAAAUGCUUAGAUAUCACGCAGAACCCCGAUGGCGAAGGCAGCC